rnacentral:rRNA from 1 species
GGUGCUGCAUGGCUGUCGUCAGCUCGUGUCGUGAGAUGUUCGGGUUAAGUCCCGUAACGAGCGCAACCUGCUAGUUACCAGCAACGGUUAUGGUGGGCACUCUAAGGAGACUGCCGGUGACAAACCGGAGGAAGGUCGGGGAUGACGUCAAGUCAUCAUGGCCCUUACGGCCUGGGCUACACACGUGCUACAAUGGUCGGUACAAAGGGUCGCCAAGCCGCGAGGUGGAGCUAAUCCCAUAAAACCGAUCGUAGUCCGGAUCGCAGUCUGCAACUCGACUGCGUGAAGUCGGAAUCGCUAGUAAUCGUGAAUCAGAAUGUCACGGUGAAUACGUUCCCGGGCCUU